GUGAGUCAUCGAAUCUUUGAACGCACAUUGCGCCCGCCGGCAUUCCGGCGGGCAUGCCUGUUCGAGCGUCAUUUCGACCCUCAAGCCCUAGGGCUUGGUGUUGGGGCGGCCGCGCCAGCGGGGCCCUCAAGUCCAUCGGCGGGCUCGCCGGACACUGAGCGCAGUAAAUCUUCUCCGUUCGGCCUGUCUUGGCGGGUCCCUGCCGCUAAACACCCCAGUUUUAAGGUUGACCUCGGAUCAGGUAGGAUUACCCGCUGAACUUAAGCAUAUCAAUAAGCGGAGGA
rnacentral:misc_RNA from 1 species